rnacentral:lncRNA from 1 species
UCUUUCAAUAUGAAUCAAACGAACACCACAAUAAGACACGAAAUCAAACAACGUUGUGUCCAGAUCAUUCAGUCGUGGUCUUACGGUGCAGGUAGGUUGGGGAACGGGAGUACUUUGAAUAUUUAUCUUUUCUUUUUGGUCUCCUCUUAUGAACACUCUCCUCUAACGAUUUUAAUAUAUGACCAUCUCCAUUUGGAUAAAUAAAACACAUAAUAAACUAAAAUAUUUAGGCAUUUUUUUUCACAUAGGAAGAGACAUAGAGAUAAGUAACAACAUGUAAUUCCAACAGAAGAAAAG